AAAGUUCAGGAGGACUUGUAUACAUUUUUCUAUACGCUCAUAUUUUUCUAAUUUCUGAGGUUAAGGAUCUGCUAAUCUCAGGGAAGUAGCGUUAUUAUCUUCAGAUAUAAUAGGUUCCGAGGAAAACGGUACAGUAAUAUCUGAUAAUCAAAAUUCAGACCUAGAACAGAACUUGACCGAAAAA